rnacentral:rRNA from 1 species
CUAUGCGCCUUGCCAGCCCGCUCAGGUGUGCCAGCAGCGCGGUAAUACAGAGGUCUCAAGCGUUGUUCGGAAUCACUGGGCGUAAAGCGUGCGUAGGCGGUUUCGUAAGUCGUGUGUGAAAGGCGGGGGCUCAACCCCCGGACUGCACAUGAUACUGCGAGACUAGAGUAAUGGGGGGGAACCGGAAUUCUCGGUGUAGCAGUGAAAUGCGUAGAUAUCGAGAGGAACACUCGUGGCGAAGGCGGGUUCCUGGACAUUAACUGACGCUGAGGCACGAAGGCCAGGGAGCGAAAGGG